UCCGCAGUGGCGCAAUUGGUUGUUAGCACGUGGUAUUUAUAAUGCCGAGGCUGUGAGUUCGAUCCUCACCUGCGGAA